CCCUCCCCUAAAUCACUCCAAAAAAAACAAUCCCCAAUUCUACACAAGUGUUUCUACACUAACAAAGCAACAGCUCCUUAACGAAUUCCCAACUUUACACGAGCUCGUCUCUCGAGGUUAAAUGUUAUUACUUGGUAAGAUUCCGGACCUCGCCAAGUGUUUUGAAAACCCGCAACGCUCGCAAAGGUGCAUAGUGAGAAUAAUAAGUGAAGAGACAGACUUGUCCAAAACGCCCACCACGAAGGUGCAUAGUGAGAAGAGUAAGUCAAGAGAUAGACUUGUCCAAAAAGAAACGGAAGAGAAAGCUUGGGGAGACGCUCACGAAGGUGCAUAGUGAGAAGAGUAAGUCAAGAGAUAGACUUGUUCAAAAAGAAACAGAAGAGAAUGCUUGGGGUUACACUCACGAAGGUGCAUAGUGAGAAGAGUAAGUCAAGAGACAGACUUGUUCAAAAAGAAACAAAAGAGAAUGCUUGGGGAGAUAGAAGUGUGAGAUAGUUCUCAAGCUAAGAAAGUUGUAAAAGCUAAGAACUAGCAAGUAAUCGUCCAGGAUUCCUCCACCAGGACUUGAAAUCGUCGAGGAAAAAAAUCGGUUCCGAGGAAUCGUCGAUCCGGACUUGGAAUCGUCGAGAAAAGUUUACCGGGUCCGAGGAUUUGUCGACCAGGAGUGGAAAUCGUCGAGAAAAAUCUAUCGGGUCCGAGGAAUCGUCGACCAGGACGAGGAAUCGUCGACAGGGUCCGAGGAUUUGUCGACCAGGGGUUGAAAUCGUCGACCAGGUCCGAGACUUCAUCGAC
rnacentral:misc_RNA from 1 species